rnacentral:rRNA from 1 species
AUGGCCAAUCCCCCCAAUUUCCAUGCGGCCUCAUUCGAUGGGGCCGUGGAGAACACCGAGUUCAACUUCCGUAGCUUGUAUUUACACCACAUUUUUUCUGGACCAAAUCCAACCCAAGCAGGCAUCGUAAGUAAAGAUGCUACCACUGGGUGGGGAUCGACAGUAGUUAACAACUGGCCCAUAUAUGAUGGGGUUGGCCAUGACGCAAAGCUACUGGCCCGCGCACAAGGGCUGCAUAUCAACGCUGGUAGUUGGCACAAUUCCUUCACUAUUGUGUUCGAGACUGAAAGGUUUAAGGAAAGCACACUUCAGGUAAUGGGAACAUCUGUUCAUGAAGGUCAGUGGUCUAUUGUUGGUGGGACGGCUGACCUUGCGAUGGCACGUGGUGUCAUAGAGAAAAAACUACAUGAGAAAAAAAAUGGUGGAGACAUAAUCGAGCUUACCAUCCAUGGGUUCUGCCACAUGCAGAUACCCACUCUUGUAAAGAGUGGCCCUUGGGGUGGCAAUGGAGGUUCCGCUGUUGAUUCAGAGAAACCCUCAAGGAUAGAAAGUAUCACCAUCCUUUAUAAAGGAAUAAUUGCUUCAUUUGAAUAUACUUACAUCGAUUAUUAUGGCAACAGGCGCACAUCAGGUCCUUGGGGUAGUGAGAAUCCCAAUUGCGCUGAGAUCAUGUUGGGCCCGGGGGAAAUUGUGACAGCAGUGUCUGGAACGGUUAUUAAACAUGAUACUUACGUGGGGACUAAAGUCGAUGUUGUGCAGACACUCAAGUUUGUCACAAAGAAGAAAACCUACGGACCUUACGGGAAUCUUGACUAUAAUAAAGAACUUGGUACUCCUUUCAGCGCCGUUGCACCUGAUGACAAAGCAAUUGUUGGCUUCUUCGGGCGUACUGAUGACAAAUACCUAAAUGAAAUUGGCGUAUAUAUUGCCUAG